AAGUCCCGCAAGGGAUCAGUAGAGUGGCAAACGGGUGAGUAACGCGUGGGUGACCUGCCUUCGAGCGGGGGAUAACGUCCCGAAAGGGACGCUAAUACCGCAUGACAUCCUGCCUUUGAAGAGGUGGAGAUCAAAGCCGGGGAUUCGCAAGAACCUGGCACUUGAAGAGGGGCCCGCGUCUGAUUAGCUAGUUGGUGGGGUAAUGGCUCACCAAGGCAUCGAUCAGUAUCCGGCCUGAGAGGGCGGACGGACACACUGGGACUGAGACACGGCCCAGACUCCUACGGGAGGCAGCAGUGGGGAAUUGUUCGCAAUGGGCGCAAGCCUGACGACGCAACGCCGCGUGGAGGAUGAAGAUCUUCGGG
rnacentral:rRNA from 1 species